UACGUAGGCAGCAAGCGUUGUUCGGAGUUACUGGGCGUAAAGGGUGUGUAGGCGGUUCUUUAAGGUUGGUGUGAAAUCUCCCGGCUCAACUGGGAGGGUGCGCCGAAGACUGGAAGGCUUGAGUAUGGGAGAGGUAAGCGGAAUUCCUGGUGUAGCGGUGAAAUGCGUAGAUAUCAGGAGGAACACCUGCGGUGUAGACGGCUUACUGGACCAUAACUGACGCUGAGGCACGAAAGCGUGGGUAGCAAACAGG
rnacentral:rRNA from 1 species